GGUUUGCUUCUUGAAUUCUGUGAUGUUAUACUAUUUAGUUCAGAAGAAUGAAUUCCAGUUAGAUCUUCUUUGCAAAAGGCAGAUCCCAGGCCUCCUGAAUCCAGGACCUGAGACGUGGAAAAGGAUGCUUUUCACAAGCUUGCCAGGGAUCUUUUGAAUUCCACCAAAUCUUAUUUUGCAAAGUUUCAAACAUAUUGAAAAUUUGUGCAACAAACCCAGGUUUGAAAAUUUGAAAGAAUAGUAAUAGAAACCCCUGUUACACCCCCCACCUAACUCUAAUGAUUGCUAACAUUUUGCUCCCUUUACUUGCUCUCUCUCACUCUUUCGCUCUCUCUCAUUGUCUCUCUUUCUGUCUCUCUCUCCUGCCCUCCCUCCCUAGAGUUUCUGAAGAUAAAUUCCACCAAUCUUGAAACAAAUCCUGUCACGUUAUUGUUAAUGACUUCAGCUCUUAUUGCUUAAGACUAGAAUAUUGUGCUUUAUGAUCACAAUAUUAUUAACACAGCCACAAAAUUUAACAUUGAUCCAAAACUAUUAUCUAAUAUGAUAUCUGUAGUUGACUGUUACACUAAAGGCCACUAUGUACCUCUGAGACAUCAACAAAGGAAUCUGCCGCAAGCAGAGACUGGAUGAGCACGUGCCUAUUGGGGCCAUCCUCCAGGAGGGCUGCUGGGACCUCCGAGGAAGCUGAUCCGGCGCCUUGAAAAUGAAGAGCCUAAGAAGAGAGGAUUCCAGCCAUCGAGUCGUUCCCUCUAGCUGCAUGAGUGAGUGCUAACAAUAUCAAUGGAAGAACCUCCCAACCAACCCACAGAACCCUGAGAAACAAGAAAUUAUUUUUUAAGCCACUGAAUUUGGAUUUGUUGUACAACAAUAGCUAUCUGACAUUUAGUCUGUAUUUAAACUGUCCCAGUUGUCAAAAUAAUGUCCCUCUAUAGUUUCUUACCACUUUUUUGAUUCACAUCCAUUCAAGACUUACACAUUGAAUUUGGUUAUCAAGUUUCUUUAUUGCCUUUUUAUUUAUACCUGUCCCCUGUCCUACCUGUUUUUAUCGUUAAUGACAUUGACUUUUUAAUUAAAGAAUCCAGGCCUGUUGUCUUAUAAAUUAGUCUGUAAUUUUGAUUUUUCUGAUUAUUUACUUGUGAAUAGCUUCCGUUUAGAUAUUUUCAUCAGAAUACAAUAGGUAAUGUUGUUAACAUCACAUUGUAUCAUAUCCAGAGAGAUGCUAAGUUUGAUAAUUUGGUUAAGAUGUCUCCUGUCAUGUUCAUACAUUAUUAAAAAAUACUUUGAGAGUUUGUUGAUAUCCUGUUCAUCCAUUGGCUAUAGAACCCAGUGAUGAUCUCUGCCUGAAUAAAUUAUAUCAGUGAUUGCAAAAAAGUGA